AUUAGACGAAUCAUCUGGAAAGAUGAAUCAAAGAAGGUAAUAAUCCUGUAGUCGAAAAUGUUGUCUCUCUUGAGUGGAUCCUGAGUACGACGGAGCACGUGAAAUUCCGUCGGAAUCUGGGAGGACCAUCUCCUAAGGCUAAAUACUCUCUAGUGACCGAUAGUGAACCAGUACCGUGAGGGAAAGGUGAAAAGCACCCCGGAAGGGGAGUGAAAUAGAACCUGAAACCGUGUGCUUACAAGUAGUCAGAGCCCGUUAAUGGGUGAUGGCGUGCCUUUUGUAGAAUGAACCGGCGAGUUACGAUUUGAUGCAAGGUUAAGCAGUAAAUGUGGAGCCGUAGCGAAAGCGAGUCUGAAUAGGGCGUUUAGUAUUUGGUCGUAGACCCGAAACCAGGUGAUCUACCCUUGGUCAGGUUGAAGUUCAGGUAACACUGAAUGGAGGACCGAACCGACUUACGUUGAAAAGUGAGCGGAUGAACUGAGGGUAGCGGAGAAAUUCCAAUCGAACCUGGAGAUAGCUGGUUCUCUCCGAAAUAGCUUUAGGGCUAGCCUCAAGUGAUGAUUAUUGGAGGUAGAGCACUGUUUGGACGAGGGGCCCCUCUCGGGUUACCGAAUUCAGACAAACUCCGAAUGCCAAUUAAUUUAACUUGGGAGUCAGAACAUGGGUGAUAAGGUCCGUGUUCGAAAGGGAAACAGCCCAGACCACCAGCUAAGGUCCCAAAAUAUAUGUUAAGUGGAAAAGGAUGUGGCGUUGCCCAGACAACUAGGAUGUUGGCUUAGAAGCAGCCAUCAUUUAAAGAGUGCGUAAUAGCUCACUAGUCGAGUGACACUGCGCCGAAAAUGUACCGGGGCUAAACAUAUUACCGAAGCUGUGGAUUGUCCUUUGGACAAUGGUAGGAGAGCGUUCUAAGGGCGUUGAAGCAUGAUCGUAAGGACAUGUGGAGCGCUUAGAAGUGAGAAUGCCGGUGUGAGUAGCGAAAGACGGGUGAGAAUCCCGUCCACCGAUUGACUAAGGUUUCCAGAGGAAGGCUCGUCCGCUCUGGGUUAGUCGGGUCCUAAGCUGAGGCCGACAGGCGUAGGCGAUGGAUAACAGGUUGAUAUUCCUGUACCACCUAUAAUCGUUUUAAUCGAUGGGGGGACGCAGUAGGAUAGGCGAAGCGUGCGAUUGGAUUGCACGUCUAAGCAGUAAGGCUGAGUAUUAGGCAAAUCCGGUACUCGUUAAGGCUGAGCUGUGAUGGGGAGAAGACAUUGUGUCUUCGAGUCGUUGAUUUCACACUGCCGAGAAAAGCCUCUAGAUAGAAAAUAGGUGCCCGUACCGCAAACCGACACAGGUAGUCAAGAUGAGAAUUCUAAGGUGAGCGAGCGAACUCUCGUUAAGGAACUCGGCAAAAUGACCCCGUAACUUCGGGAGAAGGGGUGCUCUUUAGGGUUAACGCCCAGAAGAGCCGCAGUGAAUAGGCCCAAGCGACUGUUUAUCAAAAACACAGGUCUCUGCUAAACCGUAAGGUGAUGUAUAGGGGCUGACGCCUGCCCGGUGCUGGAAGGUUAAGAGGAGUGGUUAGCUUCUGCGAAGCUACGAAUCGAAGCCCCAGUAAACGGCGGCCGUAACUAUAACGGUCCUAAGGUAGCGAAAUUCCUUGUCGGGUAAGUUCCGACCCGCACGAAAGGCGUAACGAUUUGGGCACUGUCUCAACGAGAGACUCGGUGAAAUCAUAGUACCUGUGAAGAUGCAGGUUACCCGCGACAGGACGGAAAGACCCCGUGGAGCUUUACUGUAGCCUGAUAUUGAAAUUCGGCACAGCUUGUACAGGAUAGGUAGGAGCCUUUGAAACGUGAGCGCUAGCUUACGUGGAGGCGCUGGUGGGAUACUACCCUAGCUGUGUUGGCUUUCUAACCCGCACCACUUAUCGUGGUGGGAGACAGUGUCAGGCGGGCAGUUUGACUGGGGCGGUCGCCUCCUAAAAGGUAACGGAGGCGCUCAAAGGUUCCCUCAGAAUGGUUGGAAAUCAUUCAUAGAGUGUAAAGGCAUAAGGGAGCUUGACUGCGAGACCUACAAGUCGAGCAGGGUCGAAAGACGGACUUAGUGAUCCGGUGGUUCCGCAUGGAAGGGCCAUCGCUCAACGGAUAAAAGCUACCCCGGGGAUAACAGGCUUAUCUCCCCCAAGAGUUCACAUCGACGGGGAGGUUUGGCACCUCGAUGUCGGCUCAUCGCAUCCUGGGGCUGUAGUCGGUCCCAAGGGUUGGGCUGUUCGCCCAUUAAAGCGGUACGCGAGCUGGGUUCAGAACGUCGUGAGACAGUUCGGUCCCUAUCCGUCGUGGGCGUAGGAAAUUUGAGAGGAGCUGUCCUUAGUACGAGAGGACCGGGAUGGACAUACCUCUGGUGUACCAGUUGUCGUGCCAACGGCAUAGCUGGGUAGCUAUGUGUGGACGGGAUAAGUGCUGAAAGCAUCUAAGCAUGAAGCCCCCCUC
rnacentral:rRNA from 1 species